GGGGGUGAACGGUUUCGACUCCGAUCGUCGAUCGAGGGGAAGCGUGUCGAGGAACGCGACGAUGAUCUCGUUAACCACUACGUCGCAAACAAUAAAUGCGGACAACAGUCCCGCUGCCGCCAAGAGCGAUCUCGCUCUUGCUGCCUGAUCUAGUCAGGUAGAGGCUGUCGGACCGGGGGCGUCCCCGCCCCGGAUCCCGGCAUCAUCUAGGGGACUCACCGUGCGGCCCGGCCACGGGACCGUACGGGACACCGCACAGUGGCUGGGGUCGUCACACCGGCUGGUCUGCAUGACCGGUGGACCCGAGUAGAGGCACAGCAGACUGCACACGGAGAAGCCCUCGUGAACCGACGGAGGACCCGGGUUCGAUUCCCGGCACCUCCACCG
rnacentral:tmRNA from 1 species